AGGCGUGGUUCAAUGGUAGAACACCAGCCUUCCAAGCUGGUAACGUGGGUUCGAUUCCCAUCGCCUG
rnacentral:tRNA from 1 species